rnacentral:rRNA from 1 species
GAGUUUGAUCCUGGCUCAGAUUGAACGCUGGCGGCAUGCCUAACACAUGCAAGUCGAACGGCAGCACAGUGGAGCUUGCUCCAUGGGUGGCGAGUGGCGGACGGGUGAGUAAUGCAUCGGGACCUACCCAGACGUGGGGGAUAACGUAGGGAAACUUACGCUAAUACCGCAUACGUCCUACGGGAGAAAGCGGGGGACCUUCGGGCCUCGCGCGGUUGGACGGACCGAUGUGCGAUUAGCUAGUUGGCGGGGUAAUGGCCCCCCAAGGCGACGAUCGCUAGCUGGUCUGAGAGGAUGAUCAGCCACACUGGAACUGAGACACGGUCCAGACUCCUACGGGAGGCAGCAGUGGGGAAUAUUGGACAAUGGGCGCAAGCCUGAUCCAGCAAUGCCGCGUGUGUGAAGAAGGCCUUCGGGUUGUAAAGCACUUUUAUCGGGAGCGAAAUACCAUGGGUUAAUAACCGGUGGGGCUGACGGUACCCGAGGAAUAAGCACCGGCUAACUUCGUGCCAGCAGCCGCGGUAAUAC